rnacentral:rRNA from 1 species
CUGCGCCACAAGUGGCAACCAUGAUUAUUGGGCCUAAAGCGUUCGUAGCCUGUUAAGUAAAUUCUUUGUGAAAUUGUGUAGCUAAACUAUACAGCGUGCAGGGAAGACUGCUUGACUAGGGACCGGGAGAUGUUAGAGGUAUUUUUGGGGGAACGGUAAAAUGUUAUAAUCCCAAAAGGACCACCUGUUGCGAAGGCGUCUAACAAGAACGGAUCUGACGGUGAGGGACGAAGGCCAGGGGAGCAAAUCGGAUUAGAGACCCGAGUAGUCC